AAUCUGCCCCUUCUCGCUUUUUUUCAUUCGGGACUUUCCCUUUAGGACAUGGGAGCAGGUGGCUCUGUUCUCCCAGGCUCCUCACUCACUCAGCACGUGUGCUGAGCUCCCCAUGCGCCGGGCCCCAGCUGGGCCCGGGGUGAUGGUGGCAGUGAGCUCCAGCCGGACUCCGGGCCCGCCUGGUCAGUGCUUGUUUUCUAGUGAUGGGGAGAAAUGAGCAUCGGUGGGAUCGUCUCAAUGGGAGGAGUCACAGCACGGGCUGCGGACCCCCCGGGCAUCAGACCUACGCAGGGAGGGCGACUUGAGGAGACGGUGCUCACACCUCCAUGCUGCAGGUGAGGACACGAGGACCCCGCGAGGCCUACACAGGCACAGAGAGCUGGGCUGGGGUGUGGACACACGUCCGUCCCAUGGAAGGCCCGCCUCCUCGCCGUCAUGCCAGGCAUACCCAUCCUUCCAUCCAGCCGUGUUCUCGGAGGAAUUCUGGAGGGACGAGCAGCGAGUGCCACUGGGCGGGGCAGACAGACGCAGAGCCCUUUCUGAACGCCGCAGAUCCUUCCGGAAAACCCUUGAACCUGAGGACAGUCGGAGACCCCCGCGCGCAAUGUGCCUCUGGGGGCGGGCAGAACCUCGAGAGAUUCCUGUAAUGUCUAGUAACGUCUAAUCCUCACGUCAUUCCAAAUCGAUACCGAAGGUGUGAGCACGAUUGUCCCAGAUUUGGCUCCUGGGGGGACCGCCCGAGGGGACGGUGACCUCUGCCUCUCGGGCAGCAGGAUCGGUGGGAGAGCGUUUGCAGAUCCCCAGAGCGACUGACGGUCCGACUCAGGGCUGAGGCUCUGGGCUCUUUCAUGGUGAGUCGGCUGCCCAACCCUCCACGGUCUGGACGCUCCUUGGUGUGACCCCCUCGACUCGGACCCUCCAGGGUCUGCAGACGUGUUGUGCCGACUCGCUCACCGAGAGCCUCGAAGUCCGGGUGGUGGCCAUGCACUGCGACAGGCCGGCCGUGGCUGUCCCGGGUCUGGCUCCAGCGGGUCUGCUCGGGCCAAGUCCAUCCCAUGCCGGACAUGUCACACCCGCCCUCCUGAGCCCCUGGUCUCUGGCCUGAUCGCUGUCCCCUGGUCGUGGGUGAUGUGGGCCUUUCCCCCCCAGAGGGCACACCCUGUGUGUUUGGAAAAGUGCCAGGUGUCUACAUGGCCCCGUCACCUGCAGUGCGGCUGGCCCCCCUUAAUGGAUCCUGAGAUUAAAGGGUCAACGAGCAGACCCUGGGUCCACACAACAUGAUGCCCAGUCACACGCCCAAUCACAGCCAGACCGAGGGGCCCGGAAACGAAAUCUUGGCUGAACCAAAGCGCAUGCGAAAAGUUGCCAAAAGUAAAAAAUAUGCGUCGGGUGGAAAUGACAAAGCCGCAAAUGGACGGUGUCAGGAUACGAUGUGGGUGAUGGGGCCGGUGCGGGGAGUGAGGCUGGGGUGCAUGUCCUGGUCCCACGGGAGAGGGAGCCGGAGGUGGCCGCCCCGCCAUCCAUCCCUCCUGCCAGUUCUCACAGACGGAGCGUGAGGGAUGGCGAGGGGAUGGUGAGUCAACAUCACACCCUUCACCGCCCCAGAGCGGCCGGUUCACUCCCCUGAGUCUCAAAUGAAGACAGAUCGCCCGGCGGUAGCGGUGGCAGCGGCAGCAGGUCUCCCACAGCCCCAGAGGUUUCGAGGAUAAAUGGAGAGAAAAUGUCCGCAGCUUUUUAUAGCCUCAAAUGUUCAGCCUCCAGCUGGGGGAGGCCCCGGGCCCUCGCUGCCCUUCCCUGGCCACGGCCCCUCUCCCACCCGGCACCCAGCACCCGGCGCAGCCACAGUGAGCGGCUGUGUUUCCAGGCCCAUUUCCCCUCCCGAGCGGCAGGUCACCUCCAGCCCCGGUGCCCAGCAGAGCGCCCCGCACGCGGAGGGUCUUAAGAAAUGGUUGUUUGUGCUCCCCUGGGAUCACAGCAGCACAAUUUACAACAGUUGAGAUCUGGACACAGCCUGAGUGCCCAUCAGUGAUGACUGGAUUAGA